rnacentral:rRNA from 1 species
UGGGGAAUUUUGGACAAUGGGGGCAACCCUGAUCCAGCCAUUCCGCGUGAGUGAAGAAGGCCUUCGGGUUGUAAAGCUCUUUUGUCCGGAACGAAACGGAUACGUCUAAUACGCGUGUCUACUGACGGUACCGGAAGAAUAAGCACCGGCUAACUCUGUGCCAGCAGCCGCGGUAAUACAGAGGGUGCAAGCGUUAAUCGGAUUUACUGGGCGUAAAGCGUGAGUAGGUGGCUCGCUAAGUCGGUUGUGAAAGCCCUGGGCUCAACCUGGGAAUUGCAGUCGAUACUGGCAAGCUAGAGUUCGGUAGAGGGUGGCGGAAUUCCCGGUGUAGCGGUGAAAUGCGUAGAUAUCGGGAGGAGCAUCGAUGGCGAAGGCAACCACCUGGGCCUGAACUGACACUGAGACACGAAAGCGUGGGUAGCAAA